AACGGCUGCCGUUACUACAGAGAACAACACAGCUUCUCCUAUUACAGUGACAACCACAGCAGCAGCUACCACUGAGACAACCACAGCAGCAGCUACCACUGAGACAACCACAGCUGCACCUAUUAAAGUGACAACAAAGCGUCCAAAAAAAUCCAGAAGACCGAAGAACCCAUGCAAAGAAAGGUCCAAGUCACGCCGUAACUAAAAAAGUGGAACUGAUUUUCGACGUUUUUAAAAUGAGACAUCUGGUUUUGUUUUUUCCAGUCUGCACCAUUUUGUAUUUACAAGAUUUUAAAACUUUUAUCUUAUAAG